rnacentral:lncRNA from 1 species
GAAAUUUGAAGUGAGGAUCUAGGUUGAAGUUCGGUGUUGAUAAGGAUGUCACAGGCUGGGAUGAGCAAGAAAAAAGUGGAAAGUAUAAAGCAAAUCGGUAUUAUAUUCAGUGUCACCUGAGAUCGAUGUGUUGUGAAAGAGGCUUUGCAUCCUGGUUAAGGAUUCUUGAUCGUUGUUCAGUGUUAGUGUGUCUGGUGGUUUAGAUGUGCGGACCCGUUAUCUAUUUCGGAAGGUUAUGGGAGCGUGACCCAUGGAAGGAUUGUAUAAGUGUAGCAUGUAGUCACUUGAUUGACUAAAGAUUUAAACCAAGUAUGAGGAUUGUGGUAAUAUUAUUAAUUUGAGAAUUUAGCCCUAGAGGGCACCUUGUUUAUUGGGUUAUGAACAGAGAAGGUUGCUCCGGUUAUGAUGGUUGUCCUUAUGUGUUAUGAGGAAGAAUGAGGUACUAUGGACCUUUGAAAGGUUAUUAUCCAAAUUGCUGCAAUGAGAAAUUAGCUUGAGAUCAAUGGAUUGAUUUACAUGUGAACAAGGCUUAUAUCAGGCCAGUGUGUUCAUUUCAGCGAGCAUUCCUUAUGAAGGAAUGAUGUAUUGCGCCGUACAAGUUGUGAG